AGCCUGGGGACCCUGGUUCAGCACAGUAGCAUUCCUCCUUUCUGUUUGCUUGAUGCCCAAGCCAGUCAGCUUCCUGGAAACCCUGCCCUUGGGCACUGUCACUAGUUCCCAUAGGAACCUCAAGGAGCUAAACUGUGUUCUGACCGUCCAUUCUCCUCUCUGGGCCAUUGUGGAGCCCACUGGUCUGUCAGCCCUCUAGUCAACAGCUGAGGCGGCCAUCUAUCCCUUAGCAGGUCUGGCAAGAGCCAGUCGAGACUCUUGAAGAGUAGAUGAUGUCCAUGGUGGCAGUGGCAGUAACCAUGUAGGCAAAUACCUGUGUCCAUAUGGGCUCCAGGCAGGGGCUACUCAGGGCAGACAGUGCUCUCCUGGAGCUGUCCUUACGUGGCUGCUCCUGGGAACUGCAGCCACAGAGGAAUUUCUCCCAAGGGGGGCACAAGGAGAACAUGUAGAUAGGUAAUAAUGCAGCCACACAGGCCAUCACCAGAUGUGUGGGCUCUGCUGACAGGGAAGCUACACCCGCGAUAGGAGGGAGGACACGGGAAAGAUUGGGCUGUUUGGGGCUAUUUGGAUCCCAAAGUUGUGAGUCCCCUUUCAUAGUUCCUACUGGAUUUCAACCCUAUUUAAUGCAGUGAGUUUGUUAAGCCUACAAAAUGCUUGUCCUUCACAGGCAUUAAUAUUAUUCUAAAUUCAUGCAAAAGUGUGAGUUAACCGUGGUCUCUGUCUGUGCUAGUCCUCAUUCUAGGAUUAUAAUAACUCACUUGAGUAAUAUCAGUAUCAUCAUCAUCCCCAAUUUAUAGGUGAGGAAACUGAGGCAUAGAGCGAGUAUUCAAAGUGUGUGGCAGAGCUGGGAUGUGAAUCUAGGUAACUUGGCAACAGAGCCCAUAUGCUGAACUGCCCCAACUUGUCACUUGUCAUCUGGCCUGAAAGAUUAGCUUAAGCUAAUCACGUGUGGUGUUCUAAUCCCUGACUCUGCCAAUAACAGAGGUAUUGAAUAAAUGAAAAUCUCAGACAGUAUUAUAAGCAAAGAAAAACUUGGCUGCAAUAUCUGUCAGGCCAGCAGAAGGUAAGAGGUGAUUCAGUACCAGGAGUGUGUUAGUUAUGUAAAUAGAAAUGAUCUACUUCCUGGGUCUACCUAUCAUCUAAUGACCAUCCGUGUCAUGAGAAUGUCACUGGAGGAAACUUUAGGGGCUCCUUUGUCAAAUCCUAGCUCAGAAAUGUGACAACUACAUCAACAAAAGGCCACAAUUUCCCCAAUUCAGGAAAUAAUCUGGAGUCAUCAGUACAAAUUACUUGAACAGACUGGGCUUUGGCUGUCUCUCUGUGGCUGAUAUAACAAUUCCCGUCUUGGCUACUCUGCUAAUAAUUACCUUUCCUCCUUCUCUGAAAAGAGAGGAAGCCUCAAGUCUCUCCAACACCCUGCCUCCUAUGUUCUGCACCCUCUCCCCACAGGGAUCAGUGCUAACAGAGCUGGCUGGAGGCACAGUCUCUCACUCAACCUGCAGGUUGCUCCUUCCUCUGUCACUUCACACACCUGGGUGAGGCAUCCCUAUGUGUCAGGCUCUGUGCUGGGUACUGGGGCACAGGAAGGGGGACGACAUCUUCAGCCCCAAGGAGCUCACAGUAUGGGGGUUUGGGGAUGAGAGCUGGGAGGCAAACAGACUCUGUUCAGUGGCACAACUCAAAUGUCAGUGCUCCUUACCUGGGGCCAUCCUGGAAACCUUCUCACUCAUGUGUGCUAGUGACCUGUCAGGGUUUUAUGAAUGAAAUCACCAGUCUGGAAAAUUGCUCAGUUUCAUGCACAUCGAGCUCAUUGUCCCCCUACACCUGACAUCAACCCUCAGAUCAGCAAGUGAGCUCUUUUCCUGUGACAUGACACCUUCUUAGAUUUCUGAUUAUCUUCUCCACAGACUGUGAACCCCACAGGGCAGGGACACAUAGAGUGACAUCUGUGUUCCCAGUUAGGCUCAGGGCCAGGCAGAGGGGUUGGGGUUGAGUGACUGGGGCGAGGAGGCAUCUAGAAGCCUUUUCUGUGAGAACAGCUGAGGCUGCUCAGCCUUGAGAGGGAGGAGAUUCAGGAAGGAACAGUCAUUGUCCUAAAGUGCAGGGCUGUCAGAUCAGCCUGCAAAUCUACCUAAGGAAGGUGUGUCUGGCAGACCAGAGAACACCGGCACAGGCUUCCUGUGAAGGAGUGAGCUUCCCGGACUGGGAUGAGGAGCAGAGACCUGAGAGCAUGGAACACAUGACUGUGCCUACUGAUGGUGCCAAGAAAUCCUUACUGAUAUGAUGACUGAAGGAAGGAGGGAAUGAGGAAGACUUUGGACUGGUUAGAUCACCAUCUUCAACACAGCCGGGUCAGUUUUGGUGCCACAUUUUAAAAGGAAAUUAAUGUUCUUAUUCCUGGAUGGUUCCUCAUUCUGUUUAUAGGCAACAGAAAGGCAAAGGAGGGGGACAGUCAAUCUCGAAGGCAGCGGCGUGAAGCAAUUACUCCUGUGGAAAUCGUCAGAGAUCCACAGCAGCCAAACAACGGAGGACGGAGAGGCUGAAGCCCCCCUCAUUGGAGCUGGAAUGGGGGCUGAAGACUUCAUCGUCAAGACCUCUCAAGAUUGGAGAGAGAGAACUGUGGACCCUUUCCUUCAGCUCUUGCCAGUGUUCUUAGGGAGACUCUGGUUCCUGGAGUGUUGAAUAAAUAUGCAUUCUGAUUUCAUCAAAUGUCACUGAUGUCCCUACUUUAAGCAUCCUCAAGUGCCAGAAGAAGUAGGCUUAUAACAUCUUAGAUUAUUUUGUUCAUUUCUGGGCAUCAGGCUUUAAGGGGGAUGUUGUCAAACUCAUUUGAGUUCAGAAGAGACAAAUCAGAAAAGUGUUGGAUAUGAGGAUGAUGAUAUGUGAGGAAAGCAGCAAGAACUAGAGGUCUGGAUUCCCAUUCAAGAGGGAUAAGAUGGGGCUGCUUGAAACACUAGCCAGAAACUUGGCCAGAAGUUCAGUGUUGAAUGGUCAACGAGACCUGAGAGAACGUGUAGUUCAGGCCUCCUUCUUGAGGAGAAAAAGAGAGUCAGGAUUUGGAGAAAUAAUUCAAAAUGUAAAUAUUAAGUCCAAAUACCAGAAGUAGAAUUGUAAAAUGAGAGAUAAAACAGAGAGGCAAGAGCCUAAAUUGGUCCCAGAUUGGAGUAGGAACAGAAGAAUAGUUCCAAGAUGAUUGCCAUGGACACCAUCUAGUCUCCACAUCUUGACUCUGUGGUGGUGGCUAUUAGUGCAAGACCACAUCUGACUUGCUAAAACUAUAGAGCUGAAACACUGAGGACUUGGAAAGUCUUGAUGACUGUCUCUAACUACUUAAAGAGUUGCCAGGGCUCCAGAGUUCUGGGUCUGCUACUCAUAACUGAGAGACCUUGAGUGUGCCACCUGAUCUCACUGAACUUCCCUUUCCUCAUCUGGAAAUGGAGCAUAAUAAUAAUAAAUAUACACAUUACAAAGGGGUGGUACAGACCCAAUUAUGUAACAGUGGUACAUGGACUCUGAAAAUUAUAAAUUGUUGAAGAAGUUUUGAGUUGUACCAAUGGUUGAAAGUUAUAAGAAGGAAGAUUUUGAUUCAGUAUUCUGAAACUUUUGUCAGUGAUAACUGCCUACAGAUGGAAUGCCUGAACUAAUGGGCAUCUCUGUUGCUAGCCGCAGCCAUUUGCUAAAGUUCUUAAGGAUAUUAAGGUAGAGGAAGGGAUUUAAACUGGGUCCAGGCAUGGGCUCAUAGAGUCCACUCAUGCCGUGAAAUCACAGACAAACUCCGUCGGUGCUUGGAGUACCUGAGUAUUUCUGGAGAUCCACAAUUUUCUUUAGAUUUGUAAAAAGGUCAAUGAUUCACAAAAGGUAAAGAAUAAAAACAUGAUAACUUCAUGUAACUAAAACUCUGUUUGGUGUAUUAUCCUUUACAAAAAAAACUUUAGGAUUAGUGCUUAAGAAAAUGAUCACCAUUUUUUGCUUCUGUGCUAUCUCUGAGUUCAGGGGACAAAAAGAGAGAGUCAUAGUAUUUUCUCCAGGCCUAUGUGACUCCUUCAAGAUGCUUGCCCACCCCAUCCAUUCCUGGCUUAGGACUGAAUAUUUAUAAAUUUACCUCGAUGGCCUGCUUUAUGAUGGCUCUUGAUUACUAAACUCUAAGUGCUAUGACACCCUUCAUGCUCAGCACUAUCCCUGAUACUGUUUCUAUUUUAAAGGACCUGUCCCAGACGAUGCUUAAAUGAUAGGCCGUUUGUGGCAGAGAUGAUUCAGUGUCUAAUCAACAUUCUUUCUGGACUCCUACAGAAAUAGAACUCUUAGCUGAGCACACGGUUGCUAGCUAAAGACCACCUCUCCUGGUCUCCCUCUUAGCUACAGGAGGGACUAGGCUUUGUAAGUAGUUUUUUUGUAAGAGCUGUGAGCAGAAGUGAUGUGUACAACUUGCAGCUAACAUCUCAAAAGCAAAGGGGCGUGCCUUCCCACUCCCUUUUAUU